CUCUGCUUUGCUGAAUCCAGGUCAUGAACCUCAGUUUACUAUGCUGUGCAGCAUUUUGUUUCCUGCAGGCAGGUUCGGUGAAUGCUGGCAUCAUUCAGACUCCGAAAUCAUUGCUCCUAAAGACAGGACAACAUGUGAUAAUGAGAUGUACCCAGGAUAUGAAACAUGACUCCAUGUUCUGGUACCGACAGGAUCCAGGCUUGGGACUCAGGCUAAUCUAUUACUCAUAUGACGUUGACGCCAUCAGCAAAGGAGAUGUCCCUGAUGGAUACAAUGUCUCCAGACCGAGAACAGAGGAUUUCCCCCUCACUCUAAAAUCAGCCUCUCCCUCCCAAACAUCUGUCUACUUCUGUGCCAGCAGUUAUACCACAGAGCUGUGUGGCUGCCUCUUCCCUGCACAUAAAGAUACACGCAGACAAGAGGCACCCAGCCCUGGAACUCAGUGGCACACUGGAGUUCUCAACACUGGAAGGCCGCAGGUGUGUUCUCAGAAGUGCACACCUCAGUCGGUUCUGAGUGGCAUCUUUUUGCGGGCUCAGCCAGGUUUGGACUAG